GGCUGCAUCGAGUUAAAGUGAAAGUAAAAUCUUCGAUUUAUGUGGAGAGAAAUAUAAAGUUUUCUAGAAAAUCACGAUUACUGUAAGAUGAUAUUUUACUCCAGUGUGAUGGAGGGUACUAGACCAGAUUCAACUGAACCCAGCUGUGUCUCCAUGAAGAGCGACCAGUCAAUGAGACCACCACUUAAAUUUAAAGAUGGAGGAAGUUCUACUGAUCUGAGUUACCGUGAGACAUGUGUAAGUAGCCUACUGAAGUGGACUAAAGCAAAACAGAGCCCCAAAACAGUGCAGGAAAGAAAACUUUAGCCCAAGAUGUGGAUUCCAGCAAAUGUAAAACAAAGCACUUGCACAUUUUUAUGUUUAGAACAGCAG